UUUAUCAACUGUAAACAUUUUUUCCAUAUACAUAUGGUACUUUUCUAAUCUGCUUCUUACAACUAGGAUUUUUAUUUGUAAAUUAAGUAUAUUCUAUUUACUCCUGAAGAAAUGCCAUGUCUGUCCGAGGGAAUUAUCAAGAUGUUAGGCAUACAUAUGGAUAUAUGAUACAGAAACAACUUUAUUUGGAGAAAUUCACACAUUUCUGUAAAUAACACAAUCAAGCCACAUUUGUGUUUUUUUAUAAAAGAGUUUAUUGCAUCUCCUUUAUUACAAGGCUGACUGGUUAUGAGAUCUUGUAUCCCUGUAAUAUUAACGUCAAUUCCUAUAGCAUACUUGAAAUAUAUUCUGAUUCUGUCUCGCACACCCAGGACUAGGGAAUGAUGGAAAUGAAACCUGUGACAAGGGACCACCGGCCCCGGGACAAAAGACUUUAACAGUUCUGUUGAGGUGGUGUAUACAUUGACCGAUCUAGUGAAAUGGCAGAAGGAAUGGUUUGAAACUGGUUCAACAGUUCUGACAGGUGGGGUGCAGAUUCUACAGAAGAUAAUAACGGCAGUGUUUUCAUGUCAACUUCUGAUUUAACCAAAGAGGGGUUGAUAGAUAAACACAGGUUCUGGUUUACUCAAAGAGGGGUGGGUCACUAAAGACAGGUUCUGUUUUACUCAAAAAAAGGGUGGUUCCUUAUACAGGUUAACAUUCUAGUGUAUUCACCUCUAUCACAGCCGAACACAACUGUUACUGUACGUGUAGGUACAUAAAUACACUGACAAUCAAAGGAAUAUAAUACUUCAUUUUAGUCCCUAUUUUUGGCCAAUCAGAUCUUGCAAAUCCACAGCAUUACAUAAUAAAUUUAAGCAAAGUACCAUAAUUAUCCAAAAUUAAUAAAGUACUUGUCCUGAUUCUGCUUAUAAUAAGAUUUCUUGAUCAAUCCAUUUCAGUAUUAAAUAUUUUACAUUUUUAUCAUUUAAGAAAAAAUAAGGGUGACAUUUGCAGAUUUUGAAAUUCAAGACCAAUUUUUAAAAUCUGUUAACUCAUUCACCCCUAAGGUCACAAUUGAACCUUACCAAAUCAAUGACUGGGCAAAUCCAGUUUAGAUAUGUAGGGGUGAGUGACUUAAUACACCAGACCUGAUAGUUUCCUUGUGUGGGAAUAUACUUAACACAACACUAGAUACCAUGUGUAGCUAAACUGUGUCAAA